CCUACGGGAGGCAGCAGUCGAGAAUCAUUCACAAUGGGGGAAACCCUGAUGGUGCGACGCCGCGUGGGGGAAUGAAGGUCUUCGGAUUGUAAACCCCUGUCAUGUGGGAGCAAAUUAAAAAGAUAGUACCACAAGAGGAAGAGACGGCUAACUCUGUGCCAGCAGCCGCGGUAAUACAGAGGUCUCAAGCGUUGUUCGGAAUCACUGGGCGUAAAGGGUGCGUAGGCUGUUUCGUAAGUCGUGUGUGAAAGGCGCGGGCUCAACCCGCGGACGGCACAUGAUACUGCGAGACUAGAGUAAUGGAGGGGGAACCGGAAUUCGCGGUGUAGCAGUGAAAUGCGUAGAUAUCGAGAGGAACACUCGUGGCGAAGGCAGGUUCCUGGACAGUAACUGACGCUGAGGCACGAAGGCCAGGGGAGCGAAAGGGAUUAGAUACCCGAGUAGUC
rnacentral:rRNA from 1 species